rnacentral:rRNA from 1 species
GAACCGGACGAACGUUAUUCGGAAUCACUGGGCUUAAAGGGUGCGUAGGCGGCCGCGUAAGUCGGGUGUGAAAUCCCUCGGCUCAACCGAGGAAUUGCGCCCGAUACUGCGUGGCUAGAGGGAGACAGAGGCGAGCGGAACUGAUGGUGGAGCGGUGAAAUGCGUUGAUAUCAUCAGGAACACCGGUGGCGAAGGCGGCUCGCUGGGUCUCUUCUGACGCUCAGGCACGAAAGCUAGGGUAGCGAACAGGAUUAGAUACCCUGGUAGUCCUAGCUGUAAACGAUGAGCACUUGGUCGGGGACCUUCCCAUGGGUUCCCGGCCGAAGCGAAAGUGUUAAGUGCUCCGCCUGGGGAGUAUGGUCGCAAGGCUGAA